UACGUAGGGUGCAAGCGUUGUCCGGAAUUAUUGGGCGUAAAGGGCUCGUAGGCGGCCAACUAAGUCGGAUGUGAAAUCCCCAGGCUUAACCUGGGAACUGUAUCCGAUACUGGAUGGCUUGAAUUCGGGAGAGGGAUGCAGAAUUCCAGGUGUAGCGGUGAAAUGCGUAGAUAUCUGGAGGAAUACCGGUGGCGAAGGCGGCAUCCUGGACCGAGAUUGACGCUGAUGAGCGAAAGCUAGGGGAGCAAACGGG
rnacentral:rRNA from 1 species